rnacentral:rRNA from 1 species
ACGUAAGGAGCAAGCGUUAUCCGGAUUUACUGGGUGUAAAGGGCGCGUAGGCGGGAAUGCAAGUCAGAUGUGAAAUCUGAGGGCUCAACCCUCAAACUGCAUUUGAAACUGUAUUUCUUGAGUGAUGGAGAGGUAAGUGGAAUUCGUAGUGUAGCGGUGAAAUGCAUAGAUAUUAGGCGGAACACCAGUGGCGAAGGCGGCUUGCUGUGCAUUAACUGACGCUGAGGCGCGAAAGCGUGGGGAGCAAACAG